ACUCUCAACUCAUGAGUGGGAAAGGAAGUA
rnacentral:piRNA from 1 species